GAUGGCGGCCAAAUCGGAGGGGUAACACCCGUUCCCGUCUCGAACACGGAAGUUAAGCCCUCCAGAGAUCUGGUUUGUACUGAACGAAAGUUCGGGAACUCCAGGACGCUGCCACGC
rnacentral:rRNA from 1 species